CCCACCCCNNNNNNNUUGUACNAUUCCCUUGAGUUGAUCAUGGCUAGGAUGAACGCUAGCGGCAGGCUUAAUACAUGCAAGUCGUGGGGCAGCAGGGGCUGUAGCAAUACAGUCCGCUGGCGACCGGCAAACGGGUGCGGAACACGUACGCAACCUACCCUGAACAGGGGGAUAGCCCGGGGAAACCCGGAUUAAUACCCCGUAUGAUAGUGAAGAGGCAUCUCUUAGCUAUGAAAGUAGAAAUAUGGUUCGGGAUGGGCGUGCGGCUGAUUAGGUAGUUGGCGGGGUAACGGCCCACCAAGCCUUCGAUCAGUAACUGGUGUGAGAGCACGACCAGUCACACGGGCACUGAGACACGGGCCCGACUCCUACGGGAGGCAGCAGUAAGGAAUAUUGGUCAAUGGACGCAAGUCUGAACCAGCCAUGCCGCGUGAAGGAUGAAGGUCCUCUGGAUUGUAAACUUCUUUUACCUGGGACGAAACCCUCUGACUCUUCAGAGACUGACGGUACCAGGGGAAUCAGCACCGGCUAACUCCGUGCCAGCAGCCGCGGUAAUACGGAGGGUGCAAGCGUUAUCCGGAUUCACUGGGUUUAAAGGGUGCGUAGGCGGGCCGGUAAGUCAGUGGUGAAAUCCUGGGGCUUAACCCCAGAACUGCCGUUGAUACUAUCGGUCUUGAAUGUUGUGGAGGUGAGCGGAAAUGUCAUGUAGCGGUGAAUGCUUAGAGAUGACUAGACACCAUUGCGAGGCACUCACUACGCAAUAUGACCUGAGCACA
rnacentral:rRNA from 1 species